rnacentral:rRNA from 1 species
UACAGAGGGUGCAAGCGUUACUCGGAAUUACUGGGCGUAAAGGGUGCGUAGGUGGUUGAAUAAGUUAGGUGUGAAAGUCCCGGGCUUAACCUGGGGAUUGCGCCUGAUACUGUUUAGCUAGAGUACUGUAGAGGAAGGUGGAAUUUCCGGUGUAGCGGUGAAAUGCGUAGAUAUCGGAAGGAACAUCAGUGGCGAAGGCGACUUUCUGGACAGAUACUGACACUGAGGCACGAAAGCGUGGGGAGCAAACAGG